rnacentral:rRNA from 1 species
GUGCACCAGUCGAGAAAACUUCACAAUGUGCGAAAGCACGAUGAGGGAAUCCCAAGUGCUUGCACGUAAGUGUAAGCUGUUUCUCUGUCUAAAACGCAGAGAGAGUAAGGGCUGGGUAAGACGGGUGCCAGCCGCCGCGGUAAUACCUGCAGCUCGAGUGGUGACCGUUAUUAUUGGGCCUAAAACGUCCGUAGCCGGUUUAAUAAAUGCCUGGGUAAAUCGGACCGCUUAACGGUUCGAAUUCCGGGUAGACUGUUAAACUUGAGACCGGGAGAAGUUAGAGGUACUCCUGGGGUAGAGGUGAAAUUCUGUAAUCCUAGGGGGACCACCAGUGGCGAAGGCGUCUAACUAGAACGGGUCUGACGGUGAGGGACGAAGCCCUGGGGCGC